AAAUUAUUUUAGGCAUGGGAUCAAAGAAGAAACUUCUUUGUAGCAGCAUCCCAGUACUAGGACUUUUUGUCUCUGCAUGGAAAUCUGAAUAUAUUUAUAUGUUGGAGUGACAUCUCUACAGGAAGCCUAGAGACCUAACUGUUUGCUACAUGUCACCAAAGUUAAAGUGGCUACCUUAAUGAGCAGCCAGGAUGCCAUCAUCUCCGACCUGAAUGACAAUAACCUCCAAACCAGCCUUUGUAUACUCCUUCCUGCUGCUCUGCAGUCCACUUCCACAGACCAGCCAACUGAAUCUCCUUAUAGAUUCAUAAUGGCCAUCAGCACAAAGAUGUUUUAUCUGCAGUCAACCAGUCAUGUUUCAUGAUGGCAUCAAAAUGUGCUGGAAAAGGUCAGAGAAAAUCAUCAUCAUAAAGUGAAGUGAUUUUCUUCUUUAUGAGCUCCUGAUGUAAACAGACUGAUGAGCACAACACAAUCCUUACUCACCCACAUGACAUCAUACACAAUCACAGCUAAAUGUUUCUAUCUGUCAAAGCCUGAAGAGUGACUACCAGAUUGUUGCCUGAUUGCUAAGAAUUGAUGCUUGUUCAACUGGGAUCUAUCCAGAGAAACAUAAUCCACUUCAAGAAUUUUCUGAAAAGGGAAUCUAAUGCAAGGAAUUAAUUGCAAAGAUGAUGCAAUAUCUGAGAACGAUAGAUUUGACAGUUUGGUCUACAUUUCAAGGCUGGUUAGAUGGGAGGUAUGUCCUGGUAUAUUAGUUAAUUUAGGUAUAUCUUACUGAUUUACAUUGCAUGAUUUAUCAGAUGCUAUUGACUCAUUCAAGUAAAUACAUUUAAAAAUUAUACCUUUUGCUCAUACUAGUAAUUGGGUCAGUCAUGCUCUUGAAGGAGGCAUACUGGGAGCCAUACAUUACCAGAGGCAGAGGAUUCAAUGGAUGUUUUCUGUUUUCUCUUCUUCGUGCUCUGUAAUUGAGACACAGAACAAAGGAGGAAGACUAAGUGCUCUGCCUUAACUCAGGCCAGGCUGUGGGCGCAAGUGCACCAACGGCUUUGAGACUAACACACAGCUCAGAACAAGAAAAUAUAUAUUGAGCACCUUCAACAUAACAAAUUGGCUGGGCACUGAUGGAACAACUAUAAACAAGCCAGACAGCAUCACUGUGUUGAUGAAACUCACUCUCAAAGGGGAAAGAAAGUGCUUGAAGCAAGGACAAUACAUUGUGAACAAUGCAUAAUGAGAGCUGGCAUGCUUGUCAAUGGAAGUCAUACACAACAUCUGCUUGAGUGGUGAGUGGUCAAGGGGUAGAAGAGGUUUCAUAGGGAGGUGAUAUCUAAGCUAAGUCCUCAGGAAUUAGUAAGUGUUUUACAACAGAGGAUGGUAGAAGUUCUGGGUUAAGUAGUGAGAAAAAUAUGUUCAAAGGCCCAGAAGCCAGAGCACAUAGAAUUUUAGAGAAUUAAAGUAAUUCUGAAUGAAGAAUUCAUUUCAAGAA
rnacentral:lncRNA from 1 species